ACACCGCUAGCGGCGAGAGCGUGAAAAUGACAGAAAGUCAUUCAUUUUCAAUGAGAGCCGGGCGGCGAGCUCCGGCGAGAGCGGCGCGGCGCGUCUUGGACGGUGAGAGCGCCGUCGAGGAGAGUUGAAAUCAAGUUAACUUUAUGGUAAUGAUCUAUGACGUGGUUCUCGAAUGUUGAUGCUCUCGCCGGCGGCGGUGUGAACGCACCCAGACGCAGCAAUGGUUGUCGUCCACUACGACACACUACACAAGCUGAACCGAUCGAAUCUUGUGUCCUGACGCCCAUUGUCGUUUAUGAAUCCCCACGACACCGUACAUCAAACGGAUUGUGGCAAAAUCGGGCUAAAAUCGUGUAACGUUAGUCUGAACCGGGCAUAAGUCAAACACCCUUUACAAAACAAGAAAAAAAAAAAAAAAAAAGAAAGGUAAAGCAACGAUGUUGGACGAUUUUGAAGAUGGAGGAGAAAAUGAGAUGGACUUUUUUGCCCUACCCUGCCCUGCUGCUGGGUCUGUACUUCCGCCUACAUCACGGAAAAUGGACGAUCAUUUCGCUAGACAAGACCCUUAUUCCUCGGCUGGGACCGUGAACCCUUUGAAGCUGCACUGAAAGUACAGUUUGGACCUUCAUCCCGUUGGUAACCAUUGAAGUCCACCAUAUGGAGAAAAGUCCUCGAAUGUUUUCCUCAAAAACCUUGAUUUCUUUUUGACUGAAGAAAAACAAGAACAUCUUGAAAGUCAUGAGGCUGUUAAACCAUGUAGUUCAGGCAAUAUGACGAGACUCCUCCAGUGAAGUGACAUGGAAGAGCAGAGAUGAGAUGAAUGGACAGACAUUAUGAAGCAUGAUAAUGAUAACACAGAAACCAGACGUGGCGAUGUUUUCAUAUAAAGAGACAGAUGGCCUGGCGUGUAACCGAUAAAUCAAUCAAGCUAGAACAAACAAACAUGAGCCUGUGUUCAAAAGGGCCAAGGACUCAAACACAGCUCCUCAAGGUUGAACAAAUUACAUUCAGUGAUGUGACUCUGUAAGAUGACAUACAGCGGCCCAAAUUUGUAUUUGAUCAAUGAAUGCCAUUGCAGUACAUUUCAAAAUAUCACUUAUUAAAAUAACAAAAAUGUUAUAUCAAUGAUAUUCAAACGUGUCUCAAAUGCCACAUACUGUACUCUUUGGGUCCACUGUAUUAACAUAUAUAUAACAUAUAUAACAAAUGUAUGUAUGUAUAUAUAUCACAUAUAACAAAUGUAGGACAGAACAAGUCUUAGACAUUAGAAGGAGAGGACAGAAAGGUAAAAGAUGUAUUUCAUACAUCAAUAACACAUGAAGAACAAUAAUAAACAAGCACCACAAUCAAAAAUAAUCAGCCAUUCACACUGCAUAAAAUCUGAUAUAAAAUAAGACAAGCAUAACAUGAAAACAAAACAAACGGACACACUAAAUGACAAACUUCAACGCAGUCGCGGGACCUAAAAACAUUUGGAUAAGAUGAGAUGGCAAUGUUUUGAAAUGAUUUAGCCCGUGAAAUGUUUAUGAGACAACUUGAAUCUCAUAAAGAGGUCAUUAUCUGCUUUGUUCUGGCCACAAAUCGUUGAAUUGUAAUAAAAGAAUUCACAAUUUUUGAGUAAUGCGGCAGAUUUCACCCGCAGGCCGCAUUAAUGUGGCGGCUCUUCAGCCAUUAUCCAAUCACUGCUGAGGAGCUAAUGAACACUCUGGUGGAAUUCUAUAAUCUCUCAGUGGUGGCACUUUAUAUUCAAACUAGGAGCAUAAACUGUCAUCUUCCUUUAUCAUUACUUCUCCUUCGUUUUCUGGCGCAGCAGGAAUUUCACUUCUGCUUUGACAGUUCCUAUCCUCUUUAUAUCCCAUAGUUCAUGAUAACAUCUAGCAGAUAAUUGUUUUACUCAGAUUCAAAUGACAAACUCCUCGUCUGAGCGAUGCUGCGGCAGAGGAAGGGGCUCGUAAUCUUCAGUAAUUCACUAGGUUUGUAAGCCGAUGUCAUUGUAUGCGAACAGAUGCUGCAGAUAUUGGUUUUGAUGUCUCGGUGAUAGUAAUGCGAAGGGAUGUUCAGUGUAAGGUAUCUCCUGUUGGUGGUGCUCUUUGUGAAUAGGAGAUGAGAUGAGCUCUGCGGUAUUUGUGUGGUGUGCCUUUGGUGCAGUGCUGUGAGAUGGUGAGAGUGUCUCCCUGGCCCUUUCUGCUUAAGAUGACAAAGUGAACAGAGAGCAGAGUUGCCUCUAUACAUCUACCCCUGCUUUUCCGUCCCUGGAGUUCAAAAGGCUUUAGGAAGACAAGGGCUGCAUCCCAAUUCACCUAGCUACUAUCCGUACUGUACAGUUCUCAGUCCCCCCAAAAAGAGGAAUUCUGAACAACAUCUUUGUUUCUUUGAAGGGCACAACUAUUCAAACAAAAGAGAGCAACUGAAUCCCUUCAUGAAUUUCCCUGCAACAAGGCUGUUGGGCUGUGUGUCCAUCAAAGCGGUUUUCAGCCAGCUGAAAACACCAGAGCUCUUCUGAAAACGCCUAGCUGCGGGCGCUUGAGUGUGCUUCUGCGGUGCAGCGUUUCAGUUAAAACACUUGGUUGCUGCUGAAUUAGCAGAUCUGAAUAUAAAAAGUGGAUAUAAUGUGCAAUAUUUGUCUGGUUAGGAUUUUGUUCCAUUGUUGUGCUUGUUGUUGUCAAGCAGAAUGUGGCCGUUGGUCAGUGUGGUAUUUGUCCCGCCCCUCCUCCACUGUGAUUGGAUGGCUGGGUAAAAAGUUACAGUGAUGAGCGCUGCGUUUUAAUCAAAGUUGAAUUUUUUUCAAAUCUCAGCAUACGGAAAAUAAAUAUAAAUAUUCGCUUAGCACCCAUCACACUCUUGCCAUUUUAAAAUAUGCUACACUCCUAUUGAAAACAAUAAAAAAAAAAAAAAUUAAAAAAAAAA